AGCAGCCGCGGUAAUUCCAGCUCCAAUAGCGUAUAUUAAAGUUGUUGCAGUUAAAAAGCUCGUAGUUGAAUUUCGGGACCAAUCUGCCGGUCGUGCCUCCGGUACGCACUGGUUUUAUUGGUUUCUCCCUUCUGACGAACCAUGAUGUCAUUAAUUUGGUGUCAUGGGGAAUCAGGACUGCUACUUUGAAAAAAUUAGAGUGUUUAUAGCAGGCUCACGCUUGAAUACAUUAGCAUGGAAUAAUGAAAUAGGACGUUUGACCCUAUUUUGUUGGUUUCUAGGAUUGACGUAAUGAUUAAUAGGGAUAGUUGGGGGCAUUAGUAUUCAAUUGUCAGAGGUGAAAUUCUUGGAUUUAUUGAAGACUAACUACUGCGAAAGCAUUUGCCAAGGAUGUUUUCAUUAAUCAAGAACGAAAGUUAGGGGAUCGAAGACGAUCAGAUACCGUCGUAG
rnacentral:rRNA from 1 species